AACGAACGCUGGCGGCGUGCCUAACACAUGCAAGUCGUACGAGAAAUCCUGGGCAACUGGGAGAGUAAAGUGGCGCACGGGUGAGUAACGCGUGGGUAACCUACCCUUGAAUUGGGGAUAACUCUUCGAAAGGGGAGUUAAUACCGAAUAAUAUUUCGAUUCCUCCGGGAGUUGGAAUCAAAGGUGGCCUCUGCAUGCAAGCUAUCGUUUAAGGAUGGGCCCGCGUGCCAUUAGCUAGUUGGUAGGGGAAUGGCCUACCAAGGCUACGAUGGUUAGCUGGUCUGAGAGGAUGGCCAGCCACACUGGAACUGAGACACGGUCCAGACUCCUACGGGAGGCAGCAGUGGGGAAUCUUGCGCAAUGGGGGAAACCCUGACGCAGCAACGCCGCGUGGGUGAUGAAGGCCUUCGGGUCGUAAAGCCCUGUCAGGUGGGAAGAAACUUGUGGAUGCCAAUAUCAUCCACACUUGACGGUACCACCGGAGGAAGCACCGGCUAACUCCGUGCCAGCAGCCGCUGUAAAAC
rnacentral:rRNA from 1 species